rnacentral:rRNA from 1 species
CAAGAGCGUAUGUAAAAGUUGUUGCAGUUAAAAAGCACGUAGUUGAACCUUGGGUUUGGUUGGCCGGUCCGCUUUUUUGCGAGUACUGGAUUCAACCGAGCCUUUCCUUCUGGCUAACCAGUCGUUUCGGCGGCUGGCGAACCAGGAUUUUUACUUUGAGAAAAUUAGAGUGUUCAAAGCAGGCAUUAGCUUGAAUAUAUUAGCAUGGAAUAAUAGAAUAGGACGUUAUGGUUCUAUUUUGUUGGUUUCUAGGACCAUCGUAAUGAUUAAUAGGGACGGUCGGGGGCAUCAGUAUUCAGUUGUCAGAGGUGAAAUUCUUGGAUUUACUGAAGACUAACUACUGCGAAAGCAUUUGCCAAGGACGUUUUCAUUAA